GCUUGGGUAGCUCACUCAGAACAGCUUGAGACUCUUAACCUCAGGGUUGUGGGUUCGAGCCCCACGUUGGGCA